UACAGAGGUCUCGAGCGUUAGGCGGAAUCACUGGGCUUAAAGCGCGUGUAGGCGGAUCGUUAAGUGCCUUGUCAAAUCCCACGGCUUAACCGUGGAACGGCUGGGCAUACUGGCGAUCUUGAGCCACCUAGGGGCCUGCGGAACAAGCGGUGGAGCGGUGAAAUGCGUAGAUAUCUGGAGGAAUACCGGUGGCGAAGGCGGCAUCCUGGACCGGCAUUGACGCUGAAGCGCGAAAGCUAGGGGAGCAAACGGG
rnacentral:rRNA from 1 species